UACUCAGCAGUAAUUAACAUUAAGCAAUAAGUGAAAACUUGACWUAGUUAUAGCGACCCCMACAGGGCCGGUAAAUCUUGUGCCAGCCACCGCGGUCAUACAAGAGGCCCAAACUAAUAGUAAUCGGCGUAGAGCGUGGUAAUAUGUUAUCCAACUAACUAAGACCAAAAUACAACUAAGCUGUCAUAAGCUCAAGAUGCACCUAAAACCUCCAUAAAUAUGAUCUUAGCACCCACGACCAAUUUCAACCCACGAAAGCUAAGGCACAAACUGGGAUUAGAUACCCCACUAUGCUUAGCCCUAAAUCCAGAUACUUACCCUACACAAGUAUCCGCCCGAGAACUACGAGCACAAACGCUUAAAA
rnacentral:rRNA from 1 species